AGAAAAUUAAGUGAGAGAAAUUACAGAUCUUUCAAAUCUGAAAUUGCAAGUUUGAACUUGCAAUUUUGA
rnacentral:tRNA from 1 species